rnacentral:misc_RNA from 1 species
UACGGAGGGUGCAAGCGUUGUUCGGAAUCAUUGGGCGUAAAGCGCGCGUAGGCUGCCUGCCAAGUCUGGUGUGAAAGCCCGGGGCUCAACCCCGGAGGUGCAUCGGAAACUGGUGGGCUUGAGUCCGAGAGGGGUCAGUGGAAUUCCUGGAGUAGGGGUGAAAUCCGUAGAUAUCAGGAGGAACACCGGCGGCGAAGGCGACUGACUGGAUCGGAACUGACGCUGAGGCGCGAAAGUGUGGGUAGCAAACAGG